UGGGGAAUAUUGGACAAUGGGCGGAAGCCUGAUCCAGCAACGCCGCGUGAGGGAUGACGGCCUUCGGGUUGUAAACCUCUUUCAGUACCGACGAAGCGAAAGUGACGGUAGGUACAGAAGAAGGACCGGCCAACUACGUGCCAGCAGCCGCGGUAAUACGUAGGGUCCGAGCGUUGUCCGGAAUUAUUGGGCGUAAAGGGCUCGUAGGCGGUUUGUCGCGUCGGGAGUGAAAACAGCGGGCUUAACUCGUUGCUUGCUUUCGAUACGGGCAGACUAGAGGUAUGCAGGGGAGAAUGGAAUUCCUGGUGUAGCGGUGAAAUGCGCAGAUAUCAGGAGGAACACCGGUGGCGAAGGCGGUUCUCUGGGCAUUACCUGACGCUGAGGAGCGAAAGUGUGGGGAGCGAACAGGAUUAGAUACCCUGGUAGUCCACACCGUAAACGUUGGGCGCUAGGUGUGGGGUCCUUUCCACGGAUUCCGUGCCGUAGCUAACGCAUUAAGCGCCCCGCCUGGGGGAGUACGGCCGCAAGGCUCAAAA
rnacentral:rRNA from 1 species